rnacentral:rRNA from 1 species
CGCAUCUGUGCAUGCAGCAUAUCAAUAAGCGGAGGAAAAGAAACUAACAAGGCUUCCCUCAGUAACGGCGAGUGAAGCGGGAAGAGCUCAAAUUUGAAAUCUUGAAAGGUCACCUUUCACGAAUUGUAGUUUAAAGAAGUGUUUUCUGUUACGAUCGUAAUAUAAGUUCUUUGGAAUAGGACAUCACAGAGGGUGAGAAUCCCGUCUAUGAUUGCGAUUUGUAGCUUUGUGAUACACUUUCAAAGAGUCGGGUUGUUUGGGAAUGCAGCCCAAAACGGGAGGUAAAUUUCUUCUAAGGCUAAAUAUUGGCGAGAGACCGAUAGCGAACAAGUACCGUGAGGGAAAGAUGAAAAAGAACUUUGAAAAGAGAGUUAAAUAGUACGUGUAAAUUGUCAAAAGGGAAGCGUUUAACACCAGUGUUGUUUUCUGAAAAUCAACCUCUGUUAGCUUUAUGCAUGCUUGUUUAGACCUAAUCAGCUAUCUUGCAUGUUCUAUUGUUUGCAGUGGUGCACUUUUCAGUUUACAGGUCAACAUCAGUUUUUUUUACCGUAAAGAAGUUAAAGAAAGGUAGCUCAUGGCUCCGGUCGUGAGUGUUAUAGUCUUUUUCCUAUGCGGUAGGAGAGACUGAGGUCUGCAGUGUAGGCUAUUUGGCUAGAUACUCAGGUGCUAUGUGAUACCAUUUCAUAAACAACUUGUUGAUUAUGUUUUGUCUAUUGCAUACUCGCUUGUACUAUCAUACCUACGCUUAGGAUGUUGACGAUCAGCUGAGCGCG